GGUAUUCGAACGGUCUAAGAGGGCCGUCACUCUUGCAGCAGCAUGAUUUGAAAACCUCACCACGCGCGCAUUGUACCGACAUACGGAGCAUCCGAUGCAAUGUUUGUCGUGGGACAAAGAGUUUGUCGGAUGUUGUUACAACUAGCGAUCAACUUGAAUUAUGGCGCAUUCGCGCUAUUAUUUUUCGUUAAAACCAUGCCCGAAUGAUUUUAGAAUCACAAACAAUAUAUCCGAAGGGAAAUCAACAGAUAA